AUUGAACGCUGGCGGCAGGCCUAACACAUGCAAGUCGAACGAGCGGCGGACGGGUGAGUAAUGUAUGGGAAACUGCCUGAUGGAGGGGGAUAACUACUGGAAACGGUAGCUAAUACCGCAUAAUAUCCGAUGGGCCCCGCUGGGAUUAGCUGGUUGGUGGGGUAACGGCUCACCAAGGCGACGAUCCCUAGCUGGUCUGAGAGGAUGACCAGCCACACUGGGACUGAGACACGGUCCAGACUCCUACGGGAGGCAGCAGUGGGGAAUAUUGCACAAUGGGCGCAAGCCUGAUGCAGCCAUGCCGCGUGUAUGAAGAAGGCCUUCGGGUUGUAAAGUACUUUCAGCGGGGAGGCGUUACCCGCAGAAGAAGCACCGGCUAACUCCGUGCCAGCAGCCGCGGUAAUAC
rnacentral:rRNA from 1 species